GUGCCAGCCGCCGCGGUAAUACGGAGGGUGCGAGCGUUAAUCGGAAUUACUGGGCGUAAAGCGCACGUAGGCGGCCUGUUAAGCUGGAUGUGAAAUCCCCGGGCUCAACCUGGGACCUGCACCCAGAACUGGCAGGCUAGAGUAUGGUAGAGGUGAGUGGAAUUUCCAGUGUAGCGGUGAAAUGCGUAGAUAUUGGAAGGAACAUCAGUGGCGAAGGCGGCUCACUGGACUAAUACUGACGCUGAGGUGCGAAAGCGUGGGGAGCAAACAGGAUUAGAUACCCUUGUAGUCC
rnacentral:rRNA from 1 species